rnacentral:rRNA from 1 species
GAUGAACGCUGGCGGCGUGCCUAAUACAUGCAAGUCGAGCGAACGGACGAGAAGCUUGCUUUUCUGAUGUUAGCGGCGGACGGGUGAGUAACACGUGGAUAACCUACCUAUAAGACUGGGAUAACUUCGGGAAACCGGAGCUAAUACCGGAUAAUAUUUUGAACCGCAUGGUUCAAAAGUGAAAGACGGUCUUGCUGUCACUUAUAGAUGGAUCCGCGCUGCAUUAGCUAGUUGGUAAGGUAACGGCUUACCAAGGCAACGAUGCAUAGCCGACCUGAGAGGGUGAUCGGCCACACUGGAACUGAGACACGGUCCAGACUCCUACGGGAGGCAGCAGUAGGGAAUCUUCCGCAAUGGGCGAAAGCCUGACGGAGCAACGCCGCGUGAGUGAUGAAGGUCUUCGGAUCGUAAAACCCUGUUAUUAGGGAAGAACAUAUGUGUAAGUAACUGUGCACAUCUUGACGGUACCUAAUCAGAAAGCCACGGCUAACUACGU